GCCAGGAGUGGGACUCCUGUAGGGGUAGGGCGUAGACACCGCACAGGUCUACAAACAGUAGCUUGUAGAACGGUGUCUACGAGGAGUGCUGCUAGGGCCUCUGCCCAGGGGGGCAAGGCUACCCGGGGCAGGUCUGAGGCCUCCACCCAGACUGAGCCCAUGGGGGAGCUGAUGUCCCCCUACCUCCUGGCCUCUGGGGGAUCCCCAGCAGGGCCAGGGGGGGCAGAGAUUGGGGGCCCCCACACCUGUCCGGCAGGUGCCCAUCUUAGGGCUCUGGAGGCGCAGGUGAGGGAGCUCCGGGAGGAGGUUAGCAGGCUGAGGGGGAUCAGGGAGGCGGAGGAUGAAAUUGAAAGAUAUUUCCUUUCCCUGCAGGCCCAGGCACCCAUGGAAGAAGCAGCCCGGGGAAUGCCCUCCACAGCAGAGUGGCAGACGGUCACAGCCAGGACCGGAGCAGCUCGCAGCGAACCGGUACCAGCUUCUCCAGUCCGACUGGUGAACAGAACAAGAGAUCCACGAGGACCCAGAGGAGGCGGCGAUGACUGCUCGUCAUAGGCGACUCCAUCCUGAGAGGUACAGAAGGACCCAUCUGUCGCCAGGACCCCUCGGCACGAGAGUGACCGGACGAGGAAGACGGCAGGAGAACUGCAU